rnacentral:misc_RNA from 1 species
AGCAGCCGCGGUAAUUCCAGCUCCAAUAGCGUAUAUUAAAGUUGUUGCAGUUAAAAAGCUCGUAGUUGAAUUUCGGGAUCAAUAUAUCGGUCGUGCCUUGGUACGUACUGGUAUCAUUGGUUUCUCCUUUCUGACGAACCAUGAUGUCAUUAAUUUGGUGUUAUGGGAAGUUAGGACUGUUACUUUGAAAAAAUUAGAGUGUUUAAAGCAGGCUUUGGCUUGAAUACAUUAGCAUGGAAUAAUGAAAUAGGACGUUCGAACCUAUUUUGUUGGUUUCUAGGAUCAACGUAAUGAUUAAUAGGGAUAGUUGGGGGCAUUAGUAUUCAAUUGUCAGAGGUGAAAUUCUUGGAUUUAUUGAAGACUAACUACUGCGAAAGCAUUUGCCAAGGAUGUUUUCAUUAAUCAAGAACGAAAGUUAGGGGAUCGAAGACGAUCAGAUACCGUCGUAGUCUUAACCAUAAACUAUGCCGACUAGGGAUCGGAUGAUGUUAAUUUUUUAAUGACUCAUUCGGCGCCUUAC